rnacentral:rRNA from 1 species
UACAGAGGGUGCAAGCGUUGUUCGGAAUCAUUGGGCGUAAAGGGCGUGUAGGCGGUCUGUUAAGUCAUGUGUGAAAUCCCUCGGCUCAACCGGGGAACGACGCAUGAAACUGACAAGCUAGAGUACCAAAGAGGGGGGUGGAAUUCCCGGUGUAGCGGUGAAAUGCGCAGAUAUCAGGAGGAACACCAAUGGCGAAGGCAGCUCGCUGGGACGGUACUGACGCUGAGGCGCGAAAGCGUGGGGAGCAAACAGG